rnacentral:piRNA from 1 species
UAUCAUGUUCCUCUUUGACCCCGNUAAGC